CAGGCUGAAGACCUUACCGGAUUAGCUGAGAGGUGGUGCAUGGCCGUCGUCAGUUCGUACUGUGAAGCAUCCUGUUAAGUCAGGCAACGAGCGAGACCCACGUCCACAGUUGCCAGCAUACCCUCCGGGGUGAUGGGUACACUGUGGAGACCGCCGCUGCUAAAGCGGAGGAAGGAAUGGGCAACGGUAGGUCAGUAUGCCCCGAAUCUCCCGGGCUACACGCGGGCUACAAUGGUUGGUACAAUGGGCAUCUACCCCGAAAGGGGAAGGAAAUCUCUUAAAGCCAAUCGUAGUUCGGAUUGAGGGCUGCAACUCGCCCUCAUGAAGCUGGAAUCCGUAGUAAUCGCGUUUCAACAGAACGCGGUGAAUACGUCCCUGCUCCUU
rnacentral:rRNA from 1 species